CCGAUCUUAACUGUACAUUUUGUUUUCAGACUAACCUCGCCUCAUAUUGAGGCCGUGACCUCCUAUUUGCUCGGCGCUAUGUCUGCAAGUCUAGAUUUACAGGAUGCUGAUAAUGACGACAUUGUGUCUGCCUGUAAGACCUAUUACGAGACAGUACGCAGGAGCUUCAGGUACAAACAACCAGACCUUGCACCGCAGGCGGAAGCUGAAGAGUUCAGCUCAGAGUUGAUCGAGAAGAAAGACGGUAAGACUUUUUUUGGUGACUAUUUUUCAGGUGCAUUAAAAGAUGUGUUGUGUCCAUACGUAGUGCAUCGCGCAUUACUGAUUGUUUUUAUUUGUUUUUACAGCUGCUGGAAGCGAGCCAGUGUGCUAUAUGAGGAAGAGGGGGAACUUUGGAAGUCCGCCACCAUAGACCUGAUGUCUGAAGAUGACGUCGUUGGCGGGUGUCUGGAUGGAUUGUGCGACUUCCGUCCUUUCGCAGCCAGGAGCUCACCGAGCUCUGUGCCACACUGCAGUCGAUUAGAGGCGACUCCGAAGUACAGGGCAACGCACCACAGACGUCUGCAAAAUGGGCCAAAUUCAGACAGAAUGCUGCCAGUUAACUACAGCUCCGAGGCGGCAAACAGCCACUUCACGGUGCUGUAGGAUUUUGGGCUUCUCGUGAGCUUCCAUUUGUUGUGUGGGCAGAUCUCACUUUGUACAUAGUUGUGUGUUUGUG
rnacentral:lncRNA from 15 species